rnacentral:rRNA from 1 species
CACGUAGGGUGCGAGCGUUGUCCGGAAUUAUUGGGCGUAAAGCGCGCGCAGGCGGUCUUCCAAGUCAGUGGUGAAAGCCCGGAGCUCAACUCCGGAACUGCCAUUGAAACUGUUGGACUUGAGUACGAGAGAGGUGAGUGGAAUUCCCAGUGUAGAGGUGAAAUUCGUAGAUAUUGGGAAGAACACCGGUGGCGAAGGCGGCUCACUGGCUCGUAACUGACGCUCAGGCGCGACAGCGUGGGGAUCAAACAGG